GAAAUACCAAGCCUAAAACAUGUGAAGGUUGGUAAAGCUGAAGAAACGUUUAUUAGGCAUUGAUUUUGUAAAUAUUGUUAUACUCUUCAAAAAACAUAAAAGAAAUUUAAUAUGAUUUUAUAUCUGAUGGUGACAUAUGAAUAACUUGUACGGAACACAAAUCGUUUACAUACAUCCCUGCAAAGCGAAUGAUCAACAAUUCUUCAAAAAAGAAGAAAUUACAUUUUCUUACCUACACCGGUUUAGUUUAGAAAUCCAAUAACACUCCGCAUAUGGCCCUGCGGUUCCCAUUUUCUGUAUGCCAUAUUUAUCAUUCCGCGUUUAGCGCACGUUUUUGGGAUCCCCCGUGAAGAUUGCGAAAAUGCACCAAUUUCCAUACCUUAAAUCAAGCUCUGUGAAAUAUAUGUUUAUAUUAAUGUAUUCACAGAGCAAUUUCUUUAGAUGUCUCAAAAAUGUUAUGCGAAUAAAUUUAUAUUUUUAUA